rnacentral:sRNA from 1 species
GAAAAAUGUAAGCAUACUGCACUGUUCGAUAAAACUACUAGAAAGGAUGCUGCUCCCACUGAGGACUGCCAAGCAGCACCUUGAAAAGGUGCAAAAGGAGCGCAAGCGACCUCACGUGCCGCCACAAGGAUGGAGUCAACAAAAGUCAGCUGAGGAAGUGGAGACCAGCACAAACGACAACGAAUUACUCGCUGUCAGGACAGGGCAACGGAGCAGCAGUCGCAGGGACUCGUUUGUGCGUGUGGGAGAAUUCGUAGGACAGUGCAGGGGAUUGCGUGUCUGGCAAGUCGGCGACCGAAAAUCAAAAGAAAAUUGAUAUUAAGAAAUUGCACGAAAUGAGUAAAUGAAGCGUGGACGCCUAAUGGACUGGCGUCUGAGCUGAGGCGGGCCAAGAAGGGCGACUGAUUGCCACCUUGGAGAAAUAUGUAUUAAAAAUUCCACGAAAACUAAUCAAUGUCAAAUGUCCGUCGAUUGUUCCUCGCCGACGUCCGACGUCCCAGAUAGAUAAGUUCAGGGUCCUAGGCGAUUCCACGCGUGGUUAGCUGAAAUUAGAAAAUAAUUUGCUUUUGUCCCGAGUAAUUUAUUGGCUGCCAUAAAUUUGACGGGGCGUGUCGUGAGGAGUGUCAUCGGAAGGGCGGUUCUCCAAGGACUUGCAAUUUCCACCCGCUAUCUGUUCAUUUGAGCUCCCGCUUAACCCUACUUGUAUUCAUCUUUAAUUUAAACUGCUCUCUCCCUUCUCGCUGCCUGAAUCUGUGGUCUUGGGGUCUUAAAACUUUAGUAAUUGCACAUUUUCCGCUCAAUAAGUCAAAGUGAAGUGGCUGGCAUCAUAAUUCCUGCAAUAAUAGAUUAAGCUUUCAGCCCGGACAUACGGAAUGCUCUGGAUCUGUGUACAGAAAAUCAAUAUGCACAAAGCAAAGCUCGGCUAAUGAGCGACUUUGGUAAAGAAUAGAAGGAAUGGGCAGAUAUGGGUUAAUGGCUUAUCCUUCCCUUGCUACACCUCAUUUCUGAUCGCUUGAACCCUGUUCGAAGGCACUUUGUAGAGUAUUAGCAAGUAAGCUCGAUAGCAAUACACACAUCGCCGUUCAAUACGCAUCGCUGUCAUUGAGUUGGUUCCCUCGUCAACUGGCGCGCUCUUUUGGCCAGACGACAGCUGUCAUAUUGACAUUUCUACUUAACGUCCUUGCUCGCUGCUCAAUUUUUAAUCGGGUUUUCAAGCCGCUUCCGCAGGAGCCGCUGCCAAAGAGGAAGCGGCAAACUCAUUAUUUUUAUUAAUAUGAUUUUCACUGCACUUCACCUCGCUUCACGUCGCUGCAAUUUGUGCAUUUUGUAAUUUUAAUUUUCAUAUUUAAGGGCAUUGCCUGGGCUGCUGAUGCUGAUGCGAUGAAGCUGACAGUGCGCGCCAGUGUCAAUGCAUCUCAUUGUUCUCUCCAAUGAACAUCAUUUAUUUGCAAUUAUUUGUUUUAAGCCUUGAUGGCCGGGUGGUGGAGAGGGCGGUUGCAUCCUGGCUGUCUGCCAGGCUCCCUUGUGGGUAUAUUACUUUAAGCCCUUCGGGGAGAGUUGAGCAGCUCAAGUGAGGAGACCUCUCUUCCGCGAGGCACCCGUGUUCCCCGAUAUCGCAUUGCGAUGGAAAUGCGUUUUUAAUUGCUGUCAGAAAGGGACGCGAUGCGAACUGCGUGUUGAAUUAUGUCAAACAAGUUGUCAACCGAACGCACAUCGACCUCAUUGACACACUUUACGGAUUUCGUUUAAAUCGUUCUUUAUUCUCUCGCCCGCGGUGUAAUUGUAGGUUAAUACUUUGGGGCGGCAAUUUCUUUGCGAGAAGAGUGCAAGAUCAUGGCCUGGAACUGCAACGGUGCUUCCGGAUUUUCCCAUUUCUUGCAUUCCCGACUGCCACGUACACUAUGAAACAAUUCCGGUCCGAGGUGAAAAAGUCACCCGGAGGCAAUUGUCAGACACAACACUUGGGAGUCUGGAGACUGCGAGUGGCUGACCAGCAGUACCCUUUCCCCGAAGUUGACAGGAGCUCCUGUUCCUGACCCAAAACGCUUGGCACCUCAGCACCUGCUGAGCAGUGGCUAAAUGCUGACUGCUAGCUGCUAACUGCUAACUGGUAACUGCUAACUGAAUAACUGACAGGUUUCCAGGCCAAGGAGAGCUGCCAACAGAGAUGUCAAACGCAGAAUGAAAUUCUAGUUUCACUGGACUGGACUGGCAGAAAGAAAAGUCGUCUUAAAGAGAAUCAAUUUGACCAUUGGCCAGGACGCCGCCUGGCUGCUGCGUAAUUUAUGUAAACUCCCACUGCAAUGAAUAAUAAUUUGCUUCAAGGACUCCCCAAUUCCCAACGCAGAAGAUCCCAGGACUCUAAUCCGGCGUGCUUGGAUCCAGCUUAUUGAGCUGCAAUCGACGAGCACCAGCAGAAAUUGAAUAAAAAUCGAGGGCCAAAGGAACGAAAAUAUGGCAGCAAAGGUCGGAGUCGCCGUCUGGUCUGAUCCGACCAAAACAGGACUGAGGCUGAAUGGUGGACAAGGAAACAUGACAGCAAAAGUUUCGUGCAGUUCCUUGGCUAUGUCAUUGGCCUGUCUGCAAAUCUUGCCGUUGUGGUUUGCAGUCAACGUAGAAAAUUGACUUGAUAAAAAGUUUACUAUUUUACUAGAUUCCUUUUGCUCCUCGGCUGCGUUUAGUUUGCCAUCCCGGGUCCGCUGGCUCCGUUCCCUUUCUUAGGAGUCGAAAGCCAAACAAAUAGGCGACAAUUCAUGUACACUCUCCUUUUAAUAAAAUAUGGAUACAAUACUCA